UACGUAGGUGACAAGCGUUGUCCGGAAUUACUGGGCGUAAAGGGUGCGUAGGCGGUUCGUUAAGUCUGUUGUGAAAUCCCCGGGCUCAACCUGGGAAUGGCAAUGGAUACUGGCGGGCUAGAGUGUGUCAGAGGAUGGUGGAAUUCCCGGUGUAGCGGUGAAAUGCGUAGAGAUCGGGAGGAACAUCAGUGGCGAAGGCGGCCAUCUGGGACAACACUGACGCUGAAGCACGAAAGCGUGGGGAGCAAACAGG
rnacentral:rRNA from 1 species